GUGGGGAAUCUUGCACAAUGGGCGAAAGCCUGAUGCAGCGACGCCGCGUGCGGGACGAAGGCCUUCGGGUUGUAAACCGCUUUCAGCAGGGACGAGGCCGCAAGGUGACGGUACCUGCAGAAGAAGCCCCGGCUAACUACGUGCCAGCAGCCGCGGUAAUACGUAGGGGGCGAGCGUUAUCCGGAUUCAUUGGGCGUAAAGCGCGCGUAGGCGGCCUGCUAGGUCGGGACUCAAAUCCGGGGGCUCAACCCCCGCCCGGUCCCGAUACCGACAGGCUUGAGUCUGGUAGGGGAAGGCGGAAUUCCAAGUGUAGCGGUGGAAUGCGCAGAUAUUUGGAAGAACACCGGUGGCGAAGGCGGCCUUCUGGGCCACGACUGACGCUGAGGCGCGAAAGCUAGGGGAGCGAACAGGAUUAGAAACCCCAGUAGUCC
rnacentral:rRNA from 1 species